rnacentral:rRNA from 1 species
UACGGGGGGGGCAAGCGUUGUUCGGAAUUACUGGGCGUAAAGGGCUCGUAGGUGGCCAACUAAGUCAGACGUGAAAUCCCCAGGCUCAACUUGGGAACUGCGUCUGAUACUGGAUGGCUUGAAUUCGGGAGAGGGAUGCAGAAUUCCGGGUGUAGCGGUGAAAUGCGUAGAUAUCGGGAGGAACACCAGUGGCGAAGGCGACUACCUGGCCUGUUCUUGACGCUGAGGCGCGAAAGCUAGGGGAGCAAACGGG